AAAGAGGCUACAUUAAUAGCAGAAAAUGUUUAUUAGUAUUAAAUUGAAUAUUCUAUCCAGCAGCAAAAUAUGAAUUUGACCUCAUUUUAAAUUAAAACAAAAAUGUAGGUAUAAUUUUUUUUACUUAAUAUUUGUUGUCAAAUUUCUUUAUUUUAAAUAUUUAGGUACCUAAACUUUUUUUUCUUUAAGCAUUGUUUAAAAAUUGAUAAGGGGGAAAAUAAUGCCAAUUAAAACCUACACAUUUAUACUAUUGUA